rnacentral:tRNA from 1 species
UUUAAGGUGGCAGAAAAAUGCACUAAUCUUAAAAGUUAGCUAUAAAUUAUAAUUUCCUUAAAA